rnacentral:rRNA from 1 species
AACGAACGCUGGCGGCAUGCCUAACACAUGCAAGUCGAACGAGACCUUCGGGUCUAGUGGCGCACGGGUGCGUAACGCGUGGGAACCUGCCCUUAGGUUCGGGAUAACUCCCCGUAAGGGGUGCUAAUACCGGAUAAUGUCUUCUGACCAAAGAUUUAUCGCCCUUGGAUGGGCCCGCGUUGGUUUAGCUUGUUGGUAGGGUAAAAGCCUAUCAAGGCGACGAUCCAUAGCUGGUCUGAGAGGAUGAGCAGCGACACUGGGACUGAGACACGGUCCAGACUCCUACGGGAGGGAGCAGAGGGGAAUAUAGGACUAUGGGCGAAAGCCUGAUCCAGCAAUGCCGCGUGAGUGAUGAAGUCCUUAGGGAUGUAAAGCUCUUUUACACGGGACGAUAAUGACAGUACCGGGAGAAUAAGCUCCGGCUAACUCCGUG